rnacentral:lncRNA from 1 species
AUGACCCAGGGCACCCCGGGGUCCGGGCUGGGCUGGGGCUGGGACACGGAGGAUGACUGGGACGGGCCCGUGCUCACGCUGCUGGCACUGGCCGUGGUGGCGGCCACCGCACUCGCCCUGCACUGGUUUGGCUCUGGGCGGGAGCAGGAGGCGUCAGGACCCGCACCCAUGACCCCCGCGGCCCAGCCUCAGGCGGGAAGGCCAGGGCCAGCCCUGCCCCUGACGUCCCAGGUCGGUGACGGCCGCGGCUCGGGGCAGGGGGAGUCGGAGCCGCCAGGAUGCAGCCAGGGGAGGCCGCCUGCAGCCGGGGCCUGGGACCAGACACUGCGGGAAGGGGGGGUUCUGGUCACCGCAGCAGCACCUCCACUCCAGACACCUGGCGAGGUGACCCGCGGAGGGGCCUCAGGAAAGCAGCAAGGUAAUGCCCCUCGAGAAGCCCCCCGAGGUAAAGGAAGGGAGCCUCUCAGGCCGGGUGCUGCCCUCCAGGGUAGGAGCAGCGGAGGGGGGUCCUCUGGCCCCCUCCUGAUACACUUCACCCCUCGGAGCCCCGGCAGGAGGACGGAAGGGCAAGUGGGGGCAGGUGGCGUCCCAGCCAAGGUGUCAACUGGCCAAGCCGCGGCCCACACCACAGAACAGGACCCCAACCCCCGGCGACAAGGUGCGGGGCUGCCUGGCUCCCUGGAGAGGGGCCACAGCUGCCGGCGGUGGUCGCCCCACCAGGGCUUGGGGGACAGAGACCCCUAUUUCCCCAAGGUGCACGCUGCUCGGCAGGGCGCUGUGCUGAGCGUGUGGGACACGGUGGAUGCCGCCGGCUCCCUGGGGCCUGCUCUUCCCCCGCAGGUGCCCCCUGCUCCCGCCACUCACACCGGGCCCCUGGGGGGGGCGGCAGCCACGGGGUGCAGGGACGGCGGCCUCCCAGCAGCCCCAGGCUCUGCUCCGCAGUCUCAGGGACCCCCUGCCUCCGAGGAAGCCUGGCCCUGGGCGCGGACAGAGCUCCUGGGCCCCGGGAGUGUCAGCCAGGCCCCAGGCUCCAGGGGCCCGAGGCCAGCAGGGUUACGGGGUGGACACCCACUUCUGCCUCAGGGACAGGGGACUCCGGAUGCCACCGAGGAGGGCAAGGUGGGGGCUCGGGGCUCCGGACACGGCUCCUUCUCUGGCCCAGGCCUGGGGGUGCAGAGCGGCGGGUGGGAGGCAGGGGGUCCCCCCACUCACGAGCCCCCGGCCCUGCCACCCUCACCUUCCCCAACUCCUCCGACCUCCUCUCCCUCAGACUCUUUGUCCCUGAGAGUUGGCCAGUGUCCUGCCGAGGAUGAAACUGCCGGUGUAGGGGCAGCCCUAGCCCAAACCCCAACCCCAGUCCCAGCUGCAGCCCCAGCCCCAGCCCCAACCUCAUCCCCAACCCCAAACCCAGUCCCAGCCCCAACCCCAUGCGUAGCCCCAACCUCAGCUGCAGCCCCAGCGCCAAACUCAUCCCCAACCCUAACCCCAGCCCCAGUCCUAACCCCAGGCCCAGCCGAGGCCCCCCCAUCCCUUGCCCCCAAUAGUGGGUCGGGGCCGACGCCCCAGGCGCACAGGGUGGCUCUCUGCAAGGACAAGCAGGAGGGGCAGCUCUCAAGCAGCUGGGAAAACCUUAUUUCCAUGGUUCUUAGGAGUCACCCUUUCCCCAGGCAGGAGAGACACCAAGGGAGGGCCCCAAGGGCAGCUCCCCAGGGCCCCAGGGAUCCCAGCCCUGGCAAGGCCCCUGAGGACAGAGAGUGUUCUGCCCCGGAAGGGGCGGCCCCCAGCCCGGUGGUCACGGAUGGCUCCUCAGAUGUGGGCGUCGGGGGUGCGGGGGGCGCGGGGGUUGCAGGGAGCCCUGAGCCCGACGCCAGCAGGGCGGUGUUC